rnacentral:rRNA from 1 species
UAGUCCCAACCCUAAACGGUGUGAACUUGGUGUGGGGGGAAUUGACCCCCUCCGUACCGGAGCUAACGCGUUAGGUUCACCGCCUGGGGAGUACGGCCGCAAGGCUAAAACUCAAAGAAAUUGACGGGGGCCCGCACAAGCGGAGGAGCAUGUGGCUUAAUUCGAUGCAACGCGAAGAACCUUACCAGGGCUUGACAUAUACCUGCACGCCUCCUGAAAAGGAGGAAGCUUUCGAAGGUGGUAUACAGGUGCUGCAUGGCUGUCGUCAGUUCGUGCCGUGAGGUGUUGGGUUAAGUCCCGCAACGAACGCAACCCCUGUGUUUAGUUGCUACCGACGGUGUUAAGCCGUCGGGCACUCUAGACAGACUGCCCGUGCAAGCGGGAGGAAGGUGGGGAUGGCGUCAAGUCAGUAUGGCCCUUACGCCCUGGGCUGCACACGUGCUACAAUGGUGGGAACAAUGAGAAGCAAAGCCGCAAGGUGGAGCAAAUCUCCAAAGCCUACCCCAGUUCGGAUUGGAGUCUGAAACUCGACU